UGGGGAAUAUUGGACAAUGGGGGGAACCCUGAUCCAGCCAUGCCGCGUGUGUGAAGAAGGCCUUAUGGUUGUAAAGCACUUUAAGCGAGGAGGAGGGUACUGGUAUUAAUACUACCAGGUACUGGACGUUACUCGCAGAAUAAGCACCGGCUAACUCUGUGCCAGCAGCCGCGGUAAUACAGAGGGUGCGAGCGUUAAUCGGAUUUACCGGGCGUAAAGCGUGCGUAGGCGGCUAAUUGAGUCGGAUGUGAAAUCCCCGAGCUUAACUUGGGAAUUGCAUUCGAUACUGGUUAGCUAGAGUGUGGUGGAGGAUGGUAGAAUUCCAGGUGUAGCGGUGAAAUGCGUAGAGCUCUGGAGGAAUACCGAUGGCAAAGACAGCCAUCUAGCCUAACACAGACGCUGAGGUACGAAAGCAUGGGGAGCAAACAGG
rnacentral:rRNA from 1 species